CUUGGAUAUUACCAUAUUCUCCUUUCUCUUCCAGCUUGACUUCAAAGUCCAGGUUAAGGCUCGCAUACCCUCUUAUUGGAGCCCGCCUUUUCAUUUGGAUUUGUUGUCCUUGUUUGGGAUCUCAAGAAAGAGGAAGUAGAACUGGACACCGCCUAUAAUGCUACGAAGAGGAUGCUGAUUGGCAGUUCCUGUUGCUAGGAAGAUAUACCUAGUUAU